AAGGAUCAUUACCGAAUUGUCGACACGAGCUGUUGCUGGUCCUCAAAUGGGGGCAUGUGCACGCUCUGUUUACACAUCCACUCACACCUGUGCACCCCUGUAGUUCUGUGGUUUGGGAGGCCCCGCCUUCCUUCCGUAGUCCUACCUCUUUACACACACACACAUUGAUGAAGUCUUGUGGAAUGUAUGCAGCGUUUAACGCAAUACAAUACAACUUUCAGCAACGGAUCUCUUGGCUCUC
rnacentral:misc_RNA from 1 species